UCAAACAGCAAUCCAAACAAACAUUACAGUAACAAGGUCAGUAAUAGCUUGUGUUAAAGUUCUUACCACCACACCAUACUACACCACUACUAUCACCAUACCACCCCUCACCACUACCAUCACACACCAUAACACGCCUAUGACACACCACACCACCACUGCCAUCACACCAUAACACCACACCAUCUAAUGGUUAUAGAAUAGGAAACAUUUAUUUAUAUGUUUAUUUUUUUUUAUAUACGAAAAGGAAUCCGUGUUUUCUGUUUGGCUGGAAAGCCAAUUUUUUUUUUCGUAUUCAGAAUAUGUAAUAUAAUGUGGUUUGGCUGUGCUUUCCAUCUCGACAUUAUGGCGUGUUUUGGCGCCCUUAUUCUGACACACAGACCGCUCAUUGGACGGCGCUAUGUAAACAAACCACCCGAGCUCAAGCAUCGCCACCAGCAGAGCAUACAUUGAAAAGAACAACGGACAAGCUGGAUGAUGCUGUGGAGGUGAUGCUACUGGUGAAAAACAGCGAUCCAGCCUGGUCCCUACCCCGCAAGCGUCGGCUCCACUUCACCAGGUGACCACAUGGACGACUCCACCACGGUCAUCAAGCAUACCCGAACACCAUCACAUGAUUAUGGUAAGAUAUGGAGAAGGAGAGACCAAGGCAAGAGGAGGAAGAGGAAGAGGAGAAGGAGUAAGAUAAGAGGAAUCAAGAGAAAAAAGAAAAGAUUGCAAAAAUAAACUGGGAGAAAUAUGACUUGAGUGUCAUCACUCAGGAAAUGACACCAAACACCAGGAAGAGGAUCUUUGCAGAGAUGUCAGUCAGCCAGCCAGCCAUUGGGGAAAGUCAAGAGUCCCUGAAUGCUGCUAAUUAGAUACUGAUGCCAGGAACACUGCACCUUGAAGGCAAACCACAAACCUUCAACAAGAGUGAUGAAGAACAGCCACAGUAUCAGACAAGACAUGUAGCAAUGAAGAACACCCAAAGUACAUGGGUUGGAUUCUUUGAACAGAAAUAUGGUCUGCUUGUUAACAGAUUCUUUCAAUGUUCACUCAGUCAUUCACUUACUUAGCUCAGAAUGAAUGAAGAAUGUGCAGUGAAAUAAAUAUUGCUGCUUGUAUGGGGGUGAGUCUUGUGAUGGAAUUAAGUGUUUGGUUUUUGUUAUCUUAAAAAAUUUUAUAAAAAAGACUGAAUGUGUGUGUGUGUGUGUGUGUGUGUGUGUGUAAUUCACUGUUUGUUUGAUCUGUUUGGUCUGCUGCAGUCUCUGACGAGACAGCCAGACGUUACCCUACGGAACGAGCUCAGAGCUCAUUAU